CGCACAGGUGGCUUAGUGGUUAUAGCGUCCCUCUCGGAUGUAGGAGGUCGUGGGUUUGAACCCCAGCCGUGUCA